CGAGAACGAACCUUAUCCAGAUAAAUCGAUGAUUUAUAGAAUAAAAUUAAAAAUCAUAACUUUGAGGGGAAAAAUAGAUGUCGAUAACAACUAUAGCCAGUAAUAGCAGCACUAGCUUUCCCCGAUUCCGGGUUCAAUGCGCUGAUUCUAAGCCCAGGCGUGGUUUUGGCGCCAAAAAUGACCCCAACAACAACAAGACGAAGAAAGUUACUGCCUCGAGGGAGGAGAAGGGCAUGGCAUUGCAACAAAGGAAAUCGACUUCUAGACAAUCUGGCCCUUCACCUACUCAGGCACCUGGUUUAAGUUUUCGUAUUGAUGGAAAGCCUAAAUCCAUGGACCUUGAGUUUGAGGAACGUUUGGAAGCAGUUAGAAGGUCAGCACUUGAACAAAAAAAGGCAGAUGAAAUUAAAGAAUUUGGACCAAUUGACUAUGACGCACCAGUUGAAUCUGAUAAGAAGACAAUUGGACUUGGCACUAAGAUUGGGGUAGGAGUAGCUGUUCUGGUCUUUGGUCUAGUUUUUGCUCUUGGGGACUUUCUUCCUUCUGGAAGUGAUAGUCCCCCUGAAGAAGCUGCUACAGUUGACAAAAAGUUAUCAAAAGAGGAGAAAGCUAUUCUUCUGACUCAGUUGAAACAGUACGAGACAACACUAGCUGUCUCUCCUAAAGAUCCUGUUGCACUUGAAGGAGCUGCAGUAACCUUAUCAGAAUUGGGAAAGUAUACUCAGGCUGCCUCUUUGCUUCAGGACUUGGCAAAGGAGAAACCUAAUGACCCUGAUGUUUUUCGUUUGCUUGGAGAAGUUAAAUAUGAACUCAAAGAUUAUGAGGGAAGCGCUAAUGCAUACAGGAGUUCUGCAAUGGUCUCCAAAGAAGCCAAUUUUGAAGUUCUGCGUGGUCUUACCAAUGCAUUGCUUGCCGCUAAGAAACCCGAUGAGGCUGUUCAGGUCCUACUUACUUCUCGCGAACGCCUUAAUUCCAAAAAACCAAGUAAUAUGGAUGUUAAAGGUGAUAUAGAGGUGGUGGACCCUGUUCAAGUGAGUUGCCCUCUUGGUGGACUUGCUUCUGGGAAAGGCAUAUUCAGAUUGGGGACAUGUGAGUGAUGCUGUAUCUGUUUAUGAUCAGCUCAUCUCUAGCCACCCUACUGACUUUCGGGGUUACCUAGCUAAGGGGAUAAUAUUGAAAGAAAAUGGUAAUGUUGGGGAUGCAGAAAGGAUGUUUAUACAAGCUCGGUUUUUUGCACCAGAGAAGGCAAAGGCUCUUGUAGAUCGUUAUGCGAGAAGAUGAUGAAAAUUAUUUACUUUAUUCUCCCAUCUAAAAGCAUCAUUUGUAGAUUAAAGUCUGGCCACUGUUCAAUUCUGAAAAAGCUAGCAAGAAUGAGAAAUUAGUGCGACCAUGGCCUCUUAUCCAAGCUGUUUUCAUCUUACAAUACAAGGUCACUGGAGGAGGUUCUUUAGAAAUUGUCAAAAUUAAGAUUAUAACCUUACCUUUUUCGAUAAUUUUUUUUUUGACACCAUUUAGGAAAGUUGCAGUGUCUUUCAAAAUAAAUUUCUUUCAGGAAUAUAUAAAUCAUUCCGUGUAAAGUUUUAAAUCACUUUGCAAUUAGAUCUAAAUUUCAUAUUAAGCAACUAUGUAUGUAUGAAUUACUAUCUUA